CAAACUCAUGAUCUGUGAGAUCUGAGCCAAGAUCGGGUCGGAGGCUUAACCAACUGCACCACCCAGGCUCUCCUGUCUCAGAAGACUCUUGAGAGGAAGGUGUUUGUAUAUGUUACAGGAGUGAGUGCUUUGCGGCCUGGCCUCAGUGUGAGAAGAGCUGUGCUUUCGUAUGACAGUCCACUGUCUGGGCUCUCCCCUCACUGGCUGUGUUACUGGGCAAAUCACUUUCUUUGUGCCUCAUUUUCCUCUCAUAAACGGGGAUAACAGUGGUAACGCUCAUAAAGUUUGUGAAUUAAAUGAGUUAAUACAUUGAAAAGGCUUAGAAAAGUUCCUGGUGUAAAAGUCUAGUAGUUACUGGGAAGAAAAAUAGUUUGGCGGAUGCAGAGCUCUCCACUCUGCAUCUGACUAGCACAGUGCCCUUUAUUCCAGAAUCUUCCACAUGGCUACAUGGCUACUUUAUAAAACUUGAAAUUACAACAAGGUCUGAGUAUAAGAGGGAAUGAAUUGAAGACCGCAGUUUCUUCACCUCUCCUAGGUGAAGGGGAACAGAACAUGCCACCCCAAAAUAUGCCACUUUGGCAUGUAGAUUAUUUUGACCUGAAGGCAAUCAAGUCCCAGCAGACUCCAGAAAAAACGUUUACUUCUCCCUUAAUUGCCUAAAAGAAUUUCCAUGGGAGCCUGGCCCAGAAAGAGAGCUAUUACCAGAGACAAUUCUUUUUUUUUUUUUUUUUUUUUAAAUCUGAAAGACUUGCCCGCAUGGCAGGGCCAACAUCUGCUUAGCAAACAUUUGCUCUUUUCAUCUUCCUGCAGAUUGCCCUCCUCCCCUUUGAAGCCCCAGCCCUGUCCUUUUCCUUAGCUGAGGACGGCACUAUUAGACCAGCCAAGGAACUACCCCGACAGUUUGGCGACCUGCAAGGGACCUUCACAGGCCAGACACCGCUUGCUCCAAGCCUGCUGCAGCUGACCGAGCUCGGGGCCUCUGACAAGAGCCAACGGAAGAGCCACGCAAGCAAGCUAAAGCUGGACAACUUGAUAUAAACUUCAAAGAAGUCACCACAACAUGUCAUAUAAGGACAGUCUUCAUGCCUGUAUCUGUGUGGCCCCUCAGAAAGACCACCAGAGACAUUAAAACUGCCAACCAGAAAAAUCUAUCAGGUUGCCGUUACCUGGUCUUACUGCAUCUGAAGAGGUUUCCAAACAGAUUAUCUAGAAAUCUUCUCAACUGGCUGCCCUCAGAACUCAGAAAUCGGGAGUAUAAUCUUCUCCAAUCAUUAACCAUUGUUUUCCUUUUGUUUCCAUAGAAAUGCCUCUUAUUAAAUAUCUGAUUGCUUGCACAAUAGGCCUAAUUUUGAGAGCCCACCUGCAUUUCUGUCUUAAAAUAAGACACAACCGUUUAACUGAACUGGCCUAUUCUUGGGCCUAAGAGACUGGUUCAGUGAGAUGGGGCAACCUACCAAUUCAACUUAUGGAUUGUGAAGCUUCUUGGGAAAGUUUCACAGAUGGGACCGAACGGGAACAGAACGUGCCACCCAAAAUGUGCCACUUUGGCAUGUAGAUUAUUUUGACCUGAAGGCAAUCAAGUCCCAGCGUAUACAUAUAUAUACGCUGUAUACAUAAUAAUAUAUAUCUCCUGAAAGACUUACCUACAUGGCAGGGCCAACACCUGCCUAGGAAACAUCUACUCUUCUCAUGGUCCUGAAAAUUGCCCUCCUCCCCUUCGAUGUCCCAGCCCUAUCCCUUUCCCUAGCUCAGGGUGGCAUGUAAGCCUCAAUUGCUUGACUGACAUUGGGUCUUGUUUAAAAGAAAAAAAAAAUUUAAUGUUUA